rnacentral:rRNA from 1 species
CAGUAGCCGCGGGAAUACGGAGGGGGCUAGCGUUGUUCGGAAUUACUGGGCGUAAAGCGCACGUAGGCGGCUUGGUAAGUUAGAGGUGAAAGCCUGGAGCUCAACUCCAGAAUUGCCUUUAAGACUGCCGAGCUAGCAGGUGAGAGAGGUAAGUGGAAUUCCGAGUGUAGAGGUGAAAUUCGUAGAUAUUCGGAAGAACACCAGUGGCGAAGGCGGCUUACUGGCUCAUACUGGACGCUGAGGUGCGAAAGCGUGGGGAGCAAACAGGAUUAGAUACCCCGGUAGUCCCUGUCUCUUAUAC